GCUCAGAUACCCCCAGGACUUACUGUAGAGCCGAACAACAUAACAAGCAAGAAAAACAUACAAGCAUGUAUCAAUCAGUAAUAGAAUAGUGGACAAUCCUCAGCAGAAUACGUGUACGGGGAAAGAAAAUGAACAAAUACUGACCAAACCAGAAUCCCUUACAUACAACUAUGUGUUAUUUUUGGCUACUGCUUUCACCUCCACCACCUGUGCAACACACUCCACCUGGCUCCAUGUUAUAUCAUCAGACUCUUCUAACUUCUCCUGAGAAAAUCUUGAACCAGUCAACAU